CUGAGUUGCAGUGAGUCCAGUGUAUUUCCUUGACCUAGAUCAAUGAUGGGAUCAAGAGGAGUGGUGAAAUGUGUUGUUCGGUUGUGGAAUGCUUUGAGUGCUAUGUACUGUAGUUUCUGUGAAGGCUGUGGGUGGUUGGUCGGAAUUGGUUAACAGUGGAUCUUGAUCUAUACGAGCAGCGUGACGUGGGGUGGUUCUGUUGAUACGAGAUAUCUGGAGGCGGGUAGUAGGUAGUUGAUUGGAGUUACUUGGAGUAUGCUGCCAGCCGGUCCCACUUCCCGCGUUACAUCCGAGGAUUC